UACGUAGGGGGCAAGCGUUGUCCGGAUUUAUUGGGCGUAAAGAGCGUGUAGGCGGCUUGGUAGGUCCGCUGUGAAAACUCGAGGCUCAACCUCGAGAUGUCGGCGGAAACCACUUGGCUAGAGUCCGGAAGAGGAGAGUGGAAUUCCCAGUGUAGAGGUGAAAUUCGUAGAUAUUGGGAAGAACACCGGUGGCGAAGGCGGCUCUCUGGGACGGUACUGACGCUGAGACGCGGAAAAGCGUGGGGAGCAAACAGGG
rnacentral:rRNA from 1 species